GCAGAAUUAGUGCAGCGACAGCACGCAUACUUGAAAAGUAUGAGGCGGUGGUUUGAAUCCAUCAUUCUGCC
rnacentral:tRNA from 1 species